ensembl:lncRNA
GGACCUCUAGGUGUUUCAAACCUUUCUAGGACCUCUAGGUGUUUCAAACCUCUCCUCUAGGUGUUCCAAACCUCUCCUCUAGGACCUCUUGUUGCAGCCCUGACCUAGCACACUUGAUUCAAAUAGUCAAGGGCUUGAUGAUUGGUUGACAAGUUGAAUCAGGUGUUCUAGCUCUGGAAUAGUUCAAAUACAUGGAACGGCUGGAGAACCCAGAGGAGAGGUUUGAGAACGGCUGGAGAACCCAGAGGAGAGGUUUGAGAAUGGCUGGAGAACCCAGAGGAGAGGUUUCAGAACGGCUGGAGAACCCAGAGGAGAGGUUUGAGAACGGCUGGAGGUCCCAGAGGAGAGGUUUGAGAACGGCUGGAGGUCCCAGAGGAGAGGUUUGUGAAUGGCUGGAGGUCCCGGGGGAGAGGUUUGAGAACGGCUGGAGGUCUCGGAGGAGAGUUUUGGAACGGCUGGAGAACCCGGAGGAGAGGUUUGGAAAAGGCUGAGCUAUAUGUUUGCCAAACAACUUUACAUGUCUGUUUCACACACAGGAAGGUAUUGCAGUUGAAUCACAAUUCAUGUUGAUUAAAACAAAUGAUAAUGAA